GCCAGGCGUGGUGGCGCAUGCCUGUCAUCCCAGCUACUUGGGAGGCUGAGGCAGGAGAAUCGCUUGAACCCUGGAGGCGGAGGUUGCAGUGAGCUGAGAUCGCGCCACUGCACUCCAUCCUGGGUGACAGAGUGAGACUCUGUCUCAA
rnacentral:SRP_RNA from 1 species